rnacentral:rRNA from 1 species
CACGUUAUGGUGGGCACUCUAAGGAGGACUGCCGGUGGACAAACCGGAGGAAGGUGGGGAUGACGUCAAGUCAUCAUGGCCCUUACGGCCUGGGCUACACACGUGCUACAAUGGUCGGUACAAAGGGUUGCCAAGCCGCGAGGUGGAGCUAAUCCCAUAAAACCGAUCGUAGUCCGGAUCGCAGUCUGCAACUCAACUGCGUGAAGUCGGAAUCGCUAGUAAUCGUGAAUCAGAAUGUCACGGUGAAUACGUUCCCGGGCCUU